ensembl:lncRNA
AGCAGCAGCAUACCGAGCAGUGUUGUGACACAGCAGAAUGAUGUCACCUCCUUCAGACGUGGUCUGCCUACCUAAUCACAGCCCCCCCCAAAAAUUGCAUUACUCCUCUUCCAAACCACUCAUGGCAGAAAACACAACGAAACAACCAAGUUCCAUAGGCCUUAAUUUUUCAUGACUAGAACACUUGCUGCUGGCUGCCGUAGAAGUGGAACCAAGAGACCAUGAGUGAAGGUAACUAGCAUGGAGCCAAACGAGUGGCAGCUGUUUAUUGUUAAUAUUCAUAUGACCUCUUUUAGACUUUGUUUGGAAAUCCUUUUAAGCAGUACUUACGUCCUCGUUGACACAGACACACUGAAGAAAAGCCUCCUGGGUCUGACAGUCUCCAGGCUGCAUCACAGGGUAUUGUGACGACAUGGGCCUGCUUUGUGUGGCCCCGGCAGGUGGGACCAACCCCCUCAGGCUGGACCCUCUGCAGGGCGAGAGGCGCCAAACUCCAUCUGCUGCAACGACGACUGCAGCCGCCACAGCUAAACCUAAACCUACCGGCUGAGUGAGUUGGGGCCCCUCCAUUCCCUCUGCUCCCCUCCACUCCACAGCAACACAAAGACAGUCUGCUCAUCUGUCAACCAGGGAAUAGAAAGCGGCCCUGGGCCCCAAUGACUCCUAUUCACUCCAUUGAAUGCAAUUAUUCAAAUCCUAUCCCAGCUAUGAAUGUGCAUGUGUAGACCUUUCUCUUGGGCCGGCCAAGGUGUCGGAGGUUAGAGGAGAGGAAUGCUAUUAUAACAGGCUGUUCAUGACCAUAUUUGUCCGUGUUGUCUGAGGCUGCCAUAGUGAAACAAGAGCUCAGCAAAGUUUUGGAGAGAACAGGUGUAGGGAACACCUGGUAUCUGUGUGGUGGUAGAUAUCUCUAUCAGUGAUCUCUGAGAGGGAGGGGAGAAUAUUCCUGAGCCAAAGGUUUGUCUGUUCUUUUUAUGUUGCUAUUGAAAUGGUAACACUUUACUUGACAACCAGCUUCAUAACACGUUAGAAUUUGCUCAAAUCUAGCUGUAAUUUAAGAUUUUUUAUACAAAAAGCAUUCCUUGAUUCUGUCCAAAGCAAUGGUAAGCAAAAUCAGGUAAACUUCCAAAAGCACACUUUCUUUUCUUUUCUUUUUUGUCAACUUGUUUUGACAUCGCAUUGUUGUUUUUACCUGUAUAGAUGAUGUAUUUUGGAUGUUUUUAGUGUAUUUUGAAUGCUUUCAGACAAUGCCAUUAAUCGCAAUGAAAAAUAAACGUUAAUUUAAUUUUUUUUUAAAGUUAACUUGAGUUAACUGAUUAAAUCUGACAGCCUUAUUAAUAACCUUACUUUCUCACUGAAUAAAUGAGUACAGCAUACUGAACAUUUUACCUCACAACAAGUGAAUGUAAAAUUAGCAGCGUUGGGUUUGAAAUGAAUAUGCACAGAAGGCAGUUGAACUUAGAGGAAGCUGUGUGACCUGUGCUAUUUUUAGGAGGAGAUAACUGUAUCUUAGAAAUGUAGGCUACAACUGCAGUAAAUAUUUGACUAUAGCACUUUGUUCCUUUCCAGAGC